rnacentral:rRNA from 1 species
UACGUAGGGGGCGAGCGUUGUCCGGAGUUACUGGGCGUAAAGCGCACGCAGGCGGUCUGCUAAGUUUGGAGUGACAGUUGGUGGCUUAACUGCCAAAGUGCUUCGAAAACUGACAGACUUGAGGGCUUCAGAGGGACACGGAAUUCCGGGUGGAGUGGUGAAAUGCGUAGAGACCCGGAGGAACACCAGUGGCGAAGGCGGCUUCCUGGUCUGCAACUGACGCUGUGGCGCGAAAGCUAGGGGAGCAAACAGG